UAGAAAAAUAAGCUAAAUAGUAAGCUAAUGGGUUCAUACCUCAUCAAUGGAUAUUAAAUCCUUUUUCUA
rnacentral:tRNA from 1 species